AUGACUGAAGAAGAAGUCAGACAGUCUUGGAUGUCAGCAAAUUUCAUCACAAUGAAGGCGCUUUAAACUGAAAGAAUUGAACAAGGUCAGGUUGCAGCAACUCCACCGACUGCAUGACCUGUCAUAGAUGAAUUCUCUCACUGUCCUUCUUAUUUUGUCUCUGAGUUCAGCAUCUACAGGCUUAAAAGAGAUAAAUGUGCAGGCAGACAGGAACGCCCAGCUGGAGUGUCAGGGUCCUAAAAAAGGCAAAAUUGUCCUGUUAGAGUGGAAAAGACUCGAUCUGCUGUCGGAUGGAUAUGUCUUCUUCUACCGAGAUGGUCAUCUGCAUAAAACCUUCCAGCAUCCUAUUUUUAGAGAUGGAGUGGAACUGAGAGAUCCGCAGAUGAAAAAUGGAGACAUGGCCAUCAUUUUGUACAACACCACCAUUAAAGACUCUGGGACGUAUGAGUGCCGUAUCAUCACACAAAACACGAGACAGUAGCAGCCCUACCUUUGAGAUCAAGCAUGAAAUCAGGCUGACAGUUGUUCCUCCAGGUCAACCAAAGAAAGUCACAGUGGUUAGAGAUGAGGAGAAUGGAAGUAAGGAUGUUGGGAAUGAGGAUGGAAGAGAAGGAGGAUUUAUUGGACUGGCAAGUGGUCUGCCAGUUUUGGUGGUGAUUCUUAUUUUUGUGUUGUCUUACAAACUAAGAAAAGCCUGUUGUGAUUAAAAAAAGAAAACAAGAUUUGACUAAGAACAAACUAUAAUCGGUAGUAUAAUUGCUGUCAUUAGUAAUAAUGCUAGCAAAUAUGCUAGCAUUUUUAUUAAGGAAACACCAGGGUGACUGAUUGCAUGUACAUGUUUAAAGAUUUGAAAAAGUAGAAACAAACAAAUGAAAGCAAACAGAGUGAGUUGUCUGGAGCGUUCAGCUCCUGGUAGGGUCUCAAUGACAAACAGGUCCCAGGUUAUAAGCUAGACUAAGAGUAAUUCAUACACUGCAGUAUUUACAAUUCACACUGUAAACGUUCAUAUUUUACUCUUAAAUUCAUUCACUAACAUGGUGUAAAAAGAAAUUCUUUACUUGUUGUUGAACUAUGAUUUAGUAAAAAUGAGUUCUACCCAGUUGGAGAGGAGUGGAAGAGAGUGGAGAGAGAGAGAGAGAGAGAGAGAGAGAGAGAGAGAGAGAGAGAGACAACAACAUAACAAAAACCCAGCUGACAUCAAUGGGGAGGCAUGAAGGAUCAUGACAUCUGCCUGUUCAUCACUGGGAUGAGAAAGUGUUGCAGCUCUGUCUGACAAAUCCACACUAUAGUAAAGAAGCACUAAGGAAAAACUGCAAAUAUACACAUUGUUCAAAUGAUUUGAUAUCUUUCACAAAAGAUAUGUUUGAGAAGUUAUGGGCCAACAACAGUUUAAAUACUGGAAAUAACUUUUUGGCACGACUUGUAGAUAUUAUUAUUUUUUUAAUCUAGCUAAAAUCCCAUAUAUAUAGCUGUGGUUCAUGUUUUAGCAUUUUUCAUGUUUUCGUGUCAAAAUGUGUAUAACUGGCUCAGCAUAUGCCACAAGGUAAUUUCUAUUGGGUCAAAAAAAAAAACAAGUCCUCAGAAGUGGUCUUAUUUUUUUUCCUUUCUAAUCCUACACUCGCCACUACGGAAGAGAAUUAGGGCCACUGGAAAAACAAAAAAAAGUGGCCAUGUCUUUUUUUGUUUUGUUUUUUUCCAGAAUUCUGAAAAAGUGGCCCUAAUCCUCUUCCAUAUCAAAUUUGAUAAAUAAAUGAAUUUU